rnacentral:rRNA from 1 species
ACCAAGGCGCUUGAGAGAACUCGGGUGAAGGAACUAGGCAAAAUGGUGCCGUAACUUCGGGAGAAGGCACGCUGACACGUAGGUGAAGUGAUUUACUCAUGGAGCUGAAGUCAGUCGAAGAUACCAGCUGGCUGCAACUGUUUAUUAAAAACACAGCACUGUGCAAACACGAAAGUGGACGUAUACGGUGUGACGCCUGCCCGGUGCCGGAAGGUUAAUUGAUGGGGUCAGCGCAAGCGAAGCUCCUGAUCGAAGCCCCGGUAAACGGCGGCCGUAACUAUAACGGUCCUAAGGUAGCGAAAUUCCUUGUCGGGUAAGUUCCGACCUGCACGAAUGGCGUAAUGAUGGCCAGGCUGUCUCCACCCGAGACUCAGUGAAAUUGAACUCGCUGUGAAGAUGCAGUGUACCCGCGGCAAGACGGAAAGACCCCGUGAACCUUUACUAUAGCUUGACACUGAACAUUGAGCCUUGAUGUGUAGGAUAGGUGGGAGGCUUUGAAGUGUGGACGCCAGUCUGCAUGGAGCCGACCUUGAAAUACCACCCUUUAAUGUUUGAUGUUCUAACGUGGACCCGUAAUCCGGGUUGCGGACAGUGUCUGGUGGGUAGUUUGACUGGGGCGGUCUCCUCCUAAAGAGUAACGGAGGAGCACGAAGGUUGGCUAAUCCUGGUCGGACAUCAGGAGGUUAGUGCAAUGGCAUAAGCCAGCUUGACUGCGAGCGUGACGGCGCGAGCAGGUGCGAAAGCAGGUCAUAGUGAUCCGGUGGUUCUGAAUGGAAGGGCCAUCGCUCAACGGAUAAAAGGUACUCCGGGGAUAACAGGCUGAUACCGCCCAAGAGUUCAUAUCGACGGCGGUGUUUGGCACCUCGAUGUCGGCUCAUCACAUCCUGGGGCUGAAGUAGGUCCCAAGGGUAUGGCUGUUCGCCAUUUAAAGUGGUACGCGAGCUGGGUUUAGAACGUCGUGAGACAGUUCGGUCCCUAUCUGCCGUGGGCGCUGGAGAACUGAGGGGGGCUGCUCCUAGUACGAGAGGACCGGAGUGGACGCAUCACUGGUGUUCGGGUUGUCAUGCCAAUGGCACUGCCCGGUAGCUAAAUGCGGAAGAGAUAAGUGCUGAAAGCAUCUAAGCACGAAACUUGCCCCGAGAUGAGUUCUCCCUGAGACUUUAGGUCUCCUGAAGGAACGUUGAAGACGACGACGUUGAUAGGCCGGGUGUGUAAGCGCAGCGAUGCGUUGAGCUAACCGGUACUAAUGAACCGUGAGGCUUAACCUUACAACGCCGAAG